UACAGAGGUCUCAAGCGUUUGUUCGGAUUCAUUGGGCGUAAAGGGUGCGUAGGCGGCGCGGUAAGUCGGGUGUGAAAUCUCGGGGCUUAACUCCGAAACUGCAUUCGAUACUGCCGUGCUUGAGGACUGGAGAGGAGACUGGAAUUUACGGUGUAGCGGUGAAAUGCGUAGAUAUCGUAAGGAAGACCAGUGGCGAAGGCGGGUCUCUGGACAAGUUCCUGACGCUGAGGCACGAAGGCCAGGGGGAGCAAAACGGGG
rnacentral:rRNA from 1 species